rnacentral:rRNA from 1 species
GACGAACGCUGGCGGCGUGCUUAACACAUGCAAGUCGAACGAAGUGGCGAACGGGUGAGUAACGCGUAAUCAACCUGCCAUUCAGAGGGGGACAACAGUUGGAAACGACUGCUAAUACCGCAUACUGAAGGAUGGGAUUGCGUCUGGUGAGCUAGUUGGAUGGGUAACGGCCCACCAAGGCGAUGAUCAGUAGCCGGUCUGACAGGAAGAACGGCCACAUGGGUACUGUGACACGCGCCAGACGCCUACGGGAUGCAGCAGGGGGGAAUCUUCCGCAAUGGACGAAAGUCUUACGGAGCAACGCCGCGUGAGUGAUGACGGCCUUCGGGUUGUAAAGCUCUGUUAAUCGGGACGCGUUACCGGAAUAGAAAGCCACGGCUAACUACGUGCCAGCAGCCGCGGUAAUAC